rnacentral:rRNA from 1 species
AUUGAACGCUGGCGGCAGGCUUAACACAUGCAAGUCGAGCGGGGGAAGGUAGCUUGCUACCGGACCUAGCGGCGGACGGGUGAGUAAUGCUUAGGAAUCUGCCUAUUAGUGGGGGACAACAUCUCGAAAGGGAUGCUAAUACCGCAUACGUCCUACGGGAGAAAGCAGGGGAUCUUCGGACCUUGCGCUAAUAGAUGAGCCUAAGUCGGAUUAGCUAGUUGGUGGGGUAAAGGCCUACCAAGGCGACGAUCUGUAGCGGGUCUGAGAGGAUGAUCCGCCACACUGGGACUGAGACACGGCCCAGACUCCUACGGGAGGCAGCAGUGGGGAAUAUUGGACAAUGGGGGGAACCCUGAUCCAGCCACGCCGCGUGUGUGAAGAAGGCCUUAUGGUUGUAAAGCACUUUAAGCGAGGAGGAGGCUACUUUAGUUAAUACCUAGAGAUAGUGGACGUUACUCACAGAAUAAGCACCGGCUAACUCUGUG